rnacentral:lncRNA from 1 species
CAAGGAGAGAGCUGGGCUUUCCAAGUUACCAGACCUUAAAGAUGCUGAAGCUGUUCAGAAGUAUUUUCCUUGAAGAAAUACAACUCAAUGAAGAGCUGCUAGCUCAGGUGAAUAUGAGAAAGGUGUGGACCAUCUGACAAACGCAAUUGCUGUUUGUGGACAGCCACAGCAGUUGCUGCAAGUGUUACAGCAAACUCUUCCAUCACCAGUGUUCCAGAUGCUUCUGACUAAGCUUCCAACAAUUAGAGAAUUGUGAGUGCUCAGGGCUUAGCUGAAGAUGAUGUGGAAUGAGAAACAAACGUCAACAUAAUAAAAUCUCAGAUAAAAAAAUGUUAAAAAUUGUUAACUUGGAAGAUGAGCAGCUCUGGGGGAAUAAGGGCAAAUGUUUUUGUUAUAGACUAUCCUACACUGAAGUCUACCAAAGUUAUUGUUUGCUUUAUGUAGAUCCAUUCAUUUGUUUUAUUUAUUUUUCCCAGUGAAAAGUGUAUUUUGAGAGAGCUUUUCAUUUUGUAAAUACACUAUAAGUUACUGAAAUAUAACAGAUUUUAUGUAUUCCUAAGAUGUGCAGUUAAAGUGUAUGCAUGGCAUAGGUUUCUUGGGCUAAAAAAUAGCCAGUUCUCAGUUUUAAAAGUUAGGCAAAAAAGUGUGAAGAGUGCACAUUUUUUAAGCUAAUACAUUUUACUAUAAAUCAGAAAAUUGGAUAGAAACUUUAUUGUUUGUGAAAAUGGAGCAUUAAAUCUUUGAGAGAUCAUUUCAUCUCUGAAAUGUGAAGUGUGCUACUGUGCUGUGUUAACUUUACCUCCUCCCUGUGUAUCAGUUCUAAAAUCUUUUAUUUAAAUCAGUGGGCUUCUGUGUUCUGGAUAUUAUAUCCUUAUUUUAAGUAUAUGGGGUUGUAGAUGGCACCAGGAGUUAGAUCUGUGUGCACCUGGUAUCGCCACAUGAGCUUCGCCAGUUGGUGUCUGCUCACUUUCCUCAUUCAUAGAAGGAGAGACUGGUCUGCUGAUCCUCAAGUGUCCCUUUCAGUUUGCAAUUCACCUGAGUGUAUUUGUGCAGCCAGGCCUUGCAUUUUUUUUUUUAAUAUUCUGAAUUUUGCAUGCUUGCCUGAAUUAGUAUUUCUAAAUUGAUCUUUUCUAAAUGGUAUGACUGUCUUCAUUUUCACUGAGACUAAAUAGUUUUGUCACUACUGUGUAAAUUAAUCUGAAACUUAACCUUUUAAGUAACUGAGAUGAUUUGCUUGUAAGAUUAUUCCUUUUUUGCUUUUAUCUUCAGUGUACCUCCUUAAUUCUUCAGCUUGAUUGUCUUCUGCCGUGAAUGAAGUGUGAUCUUGUGACUAAAAAUAUGGGAAGACUGGGGCUGGUGGGACCUUUUAUUUUCAAAUAGUGGCAUAUUAUCUGAGUUACAGACUCCAUUUCAGAACUGAGAAUAAAUAAAGAUCCUUGGUACUUAACGGCAAAAAACAACAACAACA